UGUCGUCCAUUGCCCUUUUUCUGUUGUACUACUGGGCAUUGAGAUGAGCAGUGCAAUAUUAAAAGGGCAUUGGCUGAUG
rnacentral:pre_miRNA from 1 species